UUUGUAUUACGUGCGGAAAUUGUUACCAUUUUCGGCUCAAAAAUGGUAACAAUUUCCACACGUAAUAGCUA
rnacentral:miRNA from 1 species